UGAGUAACACGUGGGUAACCUACCUAUAAGACUGGGAUAACUUCGGGAAACCGGAGCUAAUACCGGAUAAUAUUUCGAACCGCAUGGUUCGAUAGUGAAAGAUGGCUUUGCUAUCACUUAUAGAUGGACCUGCGCCGUAUUAGCUAGUUGGUAAGGUAACGGCUUACCAAGGCAACGAUACGUAGCCGACCUGAGAGGGUGAUCGGCCACACUGGAACUGAGACACGGUCCAGACUCCUACGGGAGGCAGCAGUAGGGAAUCUUCCGCAAUGGGCGAAAGCCUGACGGAGCAACGCCGCGUGAGUGAUGAAGGUCUUCGGAUCGUAAAACUCUGUUAUUAGGGAAGAACAAACGUGUAAGUAACUGUGCACGUCUUGACGGUACCUAAUCAGAAAGCCACGGCUAACUACGUGCCAGCAGCCGCGGUAAUACGUAGGUGGCAAGCGUUAUCCGGAAUUAUUGGGCGUAAAGCGCGCGUAGGCGGUUUUUUAAGUCUGAUGUGAAAGCCCACGGCUCAACCGUGGAGGGUCAUUGGAAACUGGAAAACUUGAGUGCAGAAGAGGAAAGUGGAAUUCCAUGUGUAGCGGUGAAAUGCGCAGAGAUAUGGAGGAACACCAGUGGCGAAGGCGACUUUCUGGUCUGUAACUGACGCUGAUGUGCGAAAGCGUGGGGAUCAAACAGGAUUAGAUACCCUGGUAGUCCACGCCGUAAA
rnacentral:rRNA from 1 species